AGCUCCAAUAGCGUAUAUUAAAGUUGUUGCAGUUAAAAAGCUCGUAGUUGGAUUUCUGGCAGGAGCGGCCGGCCACGCGCUCUGCGCGUGAGUUUGUGCUGUCUCUGGCCAUCCUCGGGGAGAUCGCGUUUGGCAUUAAGUUGUCGGGCGUGGGAUACCCGUCGUUUACUGUGAAAAAAUUAGAGUGUUCAAGGCAGGCUUUGAGGCUUGAAUACAUGAGCAUGGAAUAAUGGAAUAGGACCUCGGUCCCUAUUUCGUUGGUUUUACGGACCGAAGUAAUGAUUAAGAGGGACAAUUGGGGGCAUCCGUAUUUCGUAGUCAGAGGUGAAAUUCUUGGACCUACGAAAGACGAACAACUGCGAAAGCAUUUGCCAAGAGUGUUUUCAUUAAUCAAGAACGA
rnacentral:rRNA from 1 species